ensembl:lncRNA
GGAAACCUGGUUUUCUGUAUGCACAGAUGAGUGCUUUUCCCACUGGCUUCAGCACAAGCAAUAAGUUCAUCCAAAGACAGAAUUUGGCCUGGGGCAGUUGCAGUGGGCCAAGUGUCUGUUCCAAAGUUCUGCUGUGACCAGCAGAUUACCUGGGUAUUAAUGACUGGUUGUGAGAAGCUGACUACCAGACCCAGCCUGAGAAAUAUAAGGCACUGCACUUCUCACUCACAUGGGGAAAAGGACAACCAUGGGAAAAGGACAGCUGUCUGAAACGGUUCUGUGUCCUAGGAUUCAGAUGUUGACUAGGAAACCUGAACAAAACAAAAUUGUGAUCAACAUUUGCCGCAUCAUCCUUCUCUCUGAUCAACUCCGUGCAGAUCCACCGUGCCGCCACCAAACUGCCCAGAGGCAUAGCAGCUCCUGACGGGGGCUGUACCCCAGACGUGCUCAGCUGUGUCUCAUCCCAAAGGCAGAAAGCUUGCCUUCUUCCCCAGGAGACUCACAGAGCCAUGUAAAUAGGCCUCUGAGGGCCAGUCUCAUCAACUUACCUGACAUUUAUAGACGUUUCUGAAUAUGCUUUCACUCUGGUCAUACUUAGGUUCCCUCUUGUACUCUGAACAUCAAGGUGCUGAGAAGCUCUAAUGAGGAAAAUCAGAAGAAAGGAAGGAAAGAAAAAUAAUAUGUAUUGGUUACUUAAUAUCUGAAGGCAUAUUGUUAAUUUCUUUACAGAUAAAUUCUUUCCACACAAAAAUCUAUGAAAUAGUUUGGUUUUCUGUCCCUAUUGCCUAAAUAAGAAAUUGAAGCUUAGAGGCAGCAAGUGACUUGACCAAAGUUGCCACUUUAGUAAGUUCCAAGUUAGGAUUUCAGCCCAAGCUUGGCCUCAAAGAACAUGCUAUUUCUACUCACCACACCACAAAGAACUAUAAAUUGAGAACAGAAGUGCCCACAAAGAGCUAAUCUAUUAAUGUGUUGAAUGCUAAUGAACAUUAGUCAAUUGAUAGACAUUAGCUGUGACACAUUUGCCAGGAAAAUGACCCUCCUUUUGCAAAUAGUCUCAUUAUUUAUAGGGCAUUGAAAAUUGCUUCACUGAUCUAUUAAUCAUAUUUUAGUACAAUAUUACUACUUAUUAAAUUCUGAUGUUAUAAUACCUUAUUUGUAUGAUGCCACACAACUGGUUAGAAAGUGAAACAAUGAAGCCAUUUAAAGCACUGCUUACCUUGUGAUAGCUAAAAGAUUUACCAUCUCUAAAUAUAUAAAAGAAUUAACUGAUUUUUUUAAACUAUUCCCAAACUCUUCUCAGUUUUUACGAUGCAUACAAGAAAGACUAAUAUUUACAUUGGUCAUCUUUAACCUUUAUGAAAAACAAAACAAAACUAAGGACCUUUAAGAAUUUUUUUUUUAAAUCAAAACAGUACGAGUACAUGACAUUUUUAAAAAAUCAGAUGUUUCAGAGAAGAUUAUAGUGAGAACCAGUAGUCUCCCAUCUCACUCUUUAGAGUCAGAGUACAUUUGGCUUUAAGUCUGAGAAACAUAAUUAAAAGUGGCUUCAGGACUUCCCUGGCGGUCCAGUGGUUAAAACUCCAAGCUUCUAUUGCAAGGGGUGUGGCUUCAAUCCCUGGUGGGGGAGCUAAGAUCCUACAUGCUAUGUGGUGCGGCCCCCAAAAAAGUAUUUAAAAAAUGAAAUUUCUAAAUUUCUUAAAUUAAGAAAUAUAGUAUCUCACAUACCAAAGUCCCUGUGCAGGGUGUGGCUUGAGAUUUUUGACCCGACUGCUCAUGAACGCUUGGCAUGUAGCUCUGUUCCCCAGAGUCACAAGAUGGCUGCAAUCUAGCUGUACAAAGCAGUGGAAGACUGUCUCCUUCUCUUCAGUUUGAUUAUGCUCCUCCCUCCACUAUGACUGAAAGUAACCAAUUAAGCUUCAGGCACUGUUUGUCCAGAUCAAUAAUUCUCUACCUGAUCAGAUCCAAUGCCCCUUUUGAAAACAAAUUUUUCAUAAUCCCCUCUUCCCUAGCCUGGUAACAUGUGAUUGAUACCACAACCCAUCUAUACACUCAAUCUCAGAAAAUACUUAUACUAACAAGGUUUCUUAGACAAGUUCAGUUAGGCUAAGAUUCUUGGCUUAAAGCCGAAUAAACACGCUCCUUCCCAGGCCCA